GGUGGUCUCUACAUCCUUAAUAAAUGUGAACUAUGAUUUAUUGCUUGCUCUAGUACCUUAACUCCUCUUGAAGUUUAUUAUAGAUUGGGCAAUCCUUCGUUAUUACCUUGAAGAAAUUAUGUCAUUAGUUUUAGUCUUUGUCAGUACUAGAAUGUGAGUCAUGUCAGUUUGCUAAGCAUCAUUGUUUACCUUCUGUGCCUAGAGUUAAUAAACGGGCUUGUCCCCUUUUAAACUAGUUCAUUCUGAUAUUUGGGGUCCAUGUUCCAUUACUUCUAAACUUGGAUUAAGAUAUUUUGUUACUUUUGUGGAU
rnacentral:misc_RNA from 1 species